UUUUUUUUGGGGGGGGGAUGUCUUGUUUAUCAUUUGUACAACAGCACCUGAUAUUUACUAAGAUUACUGUGUAGCCAUCUUUGUAUGAUUAAAUCAAGAACAAGAUACUUUUCAGAAUACACUGACAGAUACUGUUCUCAGGGGAAGAAAAUAGUUCUAGAACCAGCACUUUUCCCACUGAAACUGCUGUGCUGGGAAAGGACACAUUUGUUGAGCUACUACUCUGCCCAACACUAGGGACUCCAAUGUUGGCUCAAGUCUCAAGGGCACAACCACAUGAAGCAAACAGCUGGGCUGCACUAGCAGUGCCACAGAACAGCAAGUGGGAGAAGAAUACCUUCCUUAGAGAAGCAGGACAAAGGACUAACUCCUGGCAGAUGAAGGGAGUUUACUUUUAAAAGUCUAAAAUGGAGUUUCAAGCAAGGUUGGAACCUAAAGAGAGUAUUUUGGAAGCUGACGAGCAGGGACGACUGGAGACAAUAAUGGAUGCCAUUUUUACUACUAAGUCAACCUUUCAGAAACUUCCUGGAGGAAGAUACAGAUAAUACUAUCAAUAUAUCUUGGCAUUACACAAAACAGUAGUUCCAAGAGAUGCUUCCUCACACAAUAGCCCUUCUUGGAAGUUCAUUGUGCACAGUAACAAAUAUAAAUUCUAAGAAAUUAUGAGAGGAAUCAGGUUAAUUUGUUGAACCUAGAAUUUUCCAAGGUUAUUAUUAAACCUCUAGAGUACCUGCUUUCUUUCCCUAAACCACACAUACAGAAACUUAAUUUAACGCCCAUGGAAACUGAUGUUGCACAAAACUUUGAAAACCCUGAAGAGUUUCAGAAUAGCCCUGUGAAAGAGUAUCAUACACCCAAUGUCAUAGUUGGGAGAAUUUAAGCACAGGGCCAUUACAUAACUUGCUUAAGAACACACAUAUGAAGCAUAACUAGUAUUAGAACCAAGAUCUUGUUCAAAGAUUUCCUCCACUUCAUUCACCUAGCUAGUGCCCACAACAGAUCUAAGUGGAAACAGCUUUCCCUUGACAUUCUCUUGAAGUAUGUUUGAUUUAAAAAAAAAAAAAAGAAAGAAAGAAAAGAAAAAUAGCAGUGGGCAUGGUGGCUCACGCCUGCAAUCCCAGUACUUUGGGAAGCCAAGGCGAGCGGAUCACUUGAGGUCAGGAGUUCGAGACCAGCCUGGUCAACAUGCGAAAACCCCGUUUCUACUGAAAAUACAAAAAUUAGCCAGGUGUGGUUGUGCAUGUCUGUAAUCCCAGCUACCUGGGAGGCUAAGAUGGGAGGAUUGCUUGAACCCAGGAGGCAGAGGUUGCGGUGAGCUGAGAUUGCUCCACUGCACUCCAGCCUGGGAGACAGAGGGAGACUCCAUCUCAAAAAAACAAAACAAAACAAAUGUUAUAAAAUCUUAAUUUUUCUUUAUUAUAUGAGCAAUGUUUCUAUUGUAGAAAAUUAAAAAUAAACAAUAAAGAGGAAAAAAAUCACUGGUAAUCCCAAAGUCAGAUAUCACUAUUAACAGUCUGAUGUGUAAUUCUUCCAGGUCUUUUUCUAUUUACCUAUACUCAAAACUCAUAUACUACAAAUCAUUGAAUCUAAAAUGCUAUUGACUAUAAAAUGUCCAUGCACCAUUACUUUGUAUACUAUUAGGAAAGAGAAACGCCAUUACACAAAAAUUAAUGAUGUUCUUAAUGGCAUGCAUGAAUCAGUUAUAUUAGCUUGUUGCUUUAAAAUGUCUCUCCUCAAUUACAAAGAAUGUGGUGAUUUCUCCACCUUUAGCUGUAUGAUUUGUCAUGUAUGAGGCAAUUCUUUGCACAUGUGUC
ensembl:lncRNA